rnacentral:rRNA from 1 species
GACGAACGCUGGCGGCGUGCUUAACACAUGCAAGUCGAGCGAUGAAGCACCUUCGGGUGUGAAUUAGCGGCGAACGGGUGAGGAACACGUGAGAAAUCUGCCUUCAACACUGGGAUAACUCCGGGAAACCGGGGCUAAUACCGGAUAUGAAACCUGCGGGCAUCCGCGGGUUUGGAAAGUUUUUCGGUUGAAGAUGAUCUCGCGGCCUAUCAGCUUGUUGGUGAGGUAAUGGCUCACCAAGGAGACGACGGGUAGCCGGCCUGAGAGGGCGACCGGCCACACUGGGACUGAGACACAGCCCAGACUCCUACGGGAGGCAGCAGUGGGGAAUAUUGGUCAAUGGAGGAAACUCUGACCCAGCGACGCCGCGUGCGGGAUGAAGGCCUUCGGGUUGUAAACCGCUUUCGGCAGGGAAGAAGCGAAAGUGACGGUACCUGCAGAAGAAGCACCGGCUAACUAUGUGCCAGCAGCCGCCGUAA